GUUUUGGCUUUGGCCUCAGCAGUAACACAUUCUAUGAGCUUCGGUGCUACUGGUUAAAUUCCUCAUGGACUUCUCAAAUGCAUUUUGUAUGGAUUCCAGUGAGUGGCCAGUGACUAUUGCCCUGUUCCUCCUUUUUCUCAGUCUUCUCUAUUGGUAUUCUGUUUACCCGUUUUCUGUGCUGUCAGAAUGUGGCAUCAAACAUCCCAAACCUUUGCCCUUU